rnacentral:rRNA from 1 species
AGCAGUCGCCGCGGUAAUACAGAGGGUGCGAGCGUUAAUCGGAUUUACUGGGCGUAAAGCGUGCGUAGGCGGCUUUUUAAGUCGGAUGUGAAAUCCCUGAGCUUAACUUAGGAAUUGCAUUCGAUACUGGUUAGCUAGAGUGUGGGAGAGGAUGGUAGAAUUCCAGGUGUAGCGGUGAAAUGCGUAGAGAUCUGGAGGAAUACCGAUGGCGAAGGCAGCCAUCUGGCCUAACACUGACGCUGAGGUACGAAAGCAUGGGGAGCAAACAGGAUUAGAUACCCCUGUAGUCCCUGUCUCUUAUAC